CUUAAAUUAAGGACGACAAUAUUUAAUCGGCGACCUGAACAAACGGUGAAUGACAAUCACGCCCAAUAGCACUAAAAAACCUAAAUAAGACGCCUAAUAACCAUACAAAUAAUUGCCUCACAUCAUCACCUUCAGCAUUCAAUAUAAUUUGCCACUUUACUGAGUAAUGAAGUAUAUGAAUGUGCCUACUAACUAAUUUUUCCCAUUUUCCAGUUGAAAGCUCUUACCAAUACACAAGUAUCCAUAGUAAUAAAAAUAAAUAAAAAAAUAAACCUGUUCAUCUGGGGGUCACCUCAGUGAUUGUGACAGGAACAGAGCUCAUCUGGUUGCUAGCAGAAGAGUCAGCAGAUGACUUUUUAGUUGAAAAUGAUGGCCCACUGACGCCUACUGAAUCUUGGAAGAAACCCGGCGCUGAAAGUAGCUUCUCAUUAAGCCGGAUGUUCCUUGAAAGCAUGUCAACAACCUGGCUCAUGAGUGGCCUUCGGCUUGCUGCUGCCUGGGUGCAGAAAAAGGCUACUUUCAUGUAUCUAAUGACUUCUUCCUCUGGAAAAUCUCCCAGCUCUGGAUCUACUAGUUCUAAGAGUUUCCCCUCUUCAUGAAGCUGCCAUGCCCAUUCUAGUAGGAGCUUUUGCAUUCCUCCCCAGCUGGCCUUUGCACUGCUUUUGCCACUAAUUAUUUCAAGGAUAAGCACCCCAAAACUAUACACAUCAGCCUUCAUGGUUAACUGACCACCCAGUGCAUACUCUGGUGCCAAAUAACCAGUUGUUCCUGCCACUCUUGUGCUAAUAUGAGUGAUGUUAUCUGGAAAGAGUUUAGCCAACCCAAAAUCUCCAAUCUUUGGGUUAAAAUCUUUGUCAAGAAGCACAUUACUAGCUUUGAUGUCUCUAUGCACAAUAUGUGGAACAAGUUCUUCAUGAAGGAAUGCAAGGCCCCUAGCAAUGCCCAAGCAAAUUGCAGAUCUUUUUCCCCAGUCCAGUUUAAUAUUCGUAUUCUUUGGACCUAGCAAUGCAUGAUCAAGGCUGUUAUUUUCUACAUAUUCGUACACUAAAAUUCGGUUAGUUCCUUGAGCACAGCAUCCUAUCAACUCAACAAGGUUUGGAUGCCUAACUUUUGAUAUUAUAGUGAUCUCAUUCAAAAACUCACGCACUCCUUGCUUUGAUUGAGCAGAAAGUGUCUUUACAGCCACUUGCCUUCCACUUUUGAGGGUUCCCUUGUAAACAGUUCCAAAGCCUCCUCGUCCAAUCUUAUUGGUUGAAUGAAAGUCAUCUGUUGCUGAUCUCAACUCAUUAUAAGAGAAAUGGUUGAUGUCACGAAUUGAAUUCCCAUCUGUAGCACGAUGAGCACCGUCAGCUCUCCCUUUAGCACCAAAACAGCUACACCUCAUAUCUGCCUGCAAUUGAUCUGCUGCUGCCUUCAAAUCACAUAGUUAUACCGCGAUUAGAGAAGAAAACAAAGUGAUUAAGAGCUGUGGACUCGGUUUCAGUUUCAGACUUUCUUGUUUUUUUCUUUAAAUUCCUUCUCUUUCUAUUGCGGAGAAAUGCAGAGC
rnacentral:misc_RNA from 1 species